AAGUUUCCUGACUGUUGUGACUAUUGUAUCCUACACAGUACUAGUUCUAGUCAAUGAGAAAAUGAGAGAAAAUUCUGACCCUUACUUGUAGAGCUGGUGAUAACGUCUUCUCUAUGUUUUCUCACAGACGGUCUUUUGAGUUCACUACUAAGUGAUGGGAAGAAAAAAUUCCAAGGUGGGAGAGUACCACACAGUUUGUCAUGUACAACAUCUAAAACCUAAGGCCACAAGGAGCCAGGCGGUUGUACACCUGGACACCAAGUUGCAGAUGCUACCAUGACACCAACAUGACUUCCCUGGGCAGACAACCUUACCAGUGUAUCCUGAAAUCCCAACAUCUCCGGAGCCCUGCCCCACCAGGGAAGACAGAAACAGGCUGGGAGUAUGGAUCGACCUGCCAAUGCCCAAGUCCAUCGGAGAAGCAAUUAUAGAAGCCAGAU